ensembl:lncRNA
AUCAGCUCCAGCGCAGCUUGGAGGGCGCGCUCCCAGCUCUGCUAACAGUGAAAGCCCCGGCGAGCUAGCGAGCCCUGGGACCUUGCGCGGAACGUCGCGCAACCCCGCGCUGCGCAGCAGACUACACGGGCGACAGUGACCCUGGCACCUGGCCAGGGAUCCAGCGCUGAUGGGCAAACUGAGGCCAAGCAGGAGGACUUGCCAAAGUAUCCCUGCAGAACACCGCCUGGAGGUCGCACCGCUUGGACACCCACAGUGCGGGUCUGCUCGCCGACCAUCCACUCACAGGAGAAGCCUCCAAAAGGACCAGAGCCAGAAGGGCCCAUGCAGGCCGCGGCUCCCGCCCCUUGGCCGCCCACCUGCUUUUCCCGGCCCGACCUCCCCUCUGCCGAAGCGACUUGGUCAGACUUCCAGACUUAAAACGAAGUCGUUUAUUUCAAUUUUGCUUUCACAUUAUGUUCCGAUACAAUCAAAACU